GCCUGGUGUCACCCAGGUGUCUCUAACAUUAGAUUGGCUGGGGUCCUUUGGAAGUCUCCACUAUUAGGAUGCCUGGGGUCACCCAAGUGCCUCUACCAUUAGACUGCCUGUGGUCAGUUGGGAAUCUCCCCCAUUAGAAUGGCUGGGGUCACCUAGGUGUCUCUAUGCAUGGAUUGCCUGGGUUUGUACAGAAGUCUCUCUAAUUAGAAUGCCUGAGGUCAUCCAGGUGUCUGUAUUAUUAGACUGCCUGGGGUCAGGCAGGAGUCUCUCCCAUUAGAAUAUCUGGUGUCAGUUGGAAUUCUCUCUCAUUAGAAUGCUUGGGGUCGCAUACGUGUAUCUAUUAUUUGCAUGCCUGGGCUUGUCCUGUAGUCUCUCCCAUUAGGAUGCCUGUGGUUGCCCAGUUGUGAACAUUAGACUGCCUGGGGUCCGCCAAGAUUGUCUCUUAUUAAAAUGCCUUGAGUUAUCUGGGAGUUUCUCCCAUUAGUAUGCCUGGGUUCGCCCAGGUGUCUCUAUCAUUAGACUGCCUGGGGUCAGCUGGUAGGCUCUCCUAUUAAAAUGCCUUGGGUGGCUUAGAUUCCUCUACAGUUUGACUGCCUGUGUUCAGCCAGCAAUCUCUCCCAUUAGAAUACCUGGGCUCUCCCAGGUGUCUCUAUUGUUAGACUGCCUGAAGUCAGCCAGGAGUGUCUCUCAUUAGAAUACCUGUAUUCAUCCCUAUUUCUUUAUUAAACUGCCUGCGGUUUGGCGGGAGUCUCUCCCAUUAAAAUGCCUGUCCUCGAUAAGGUGUCUAUCAUUUGAAUGCCUGGGUUCAACCAGGAAUCUCUCUUAUUAGAACGUCUCCGGUCAUCGAAGUGUCUCUAUCAUAAGACUGCCUGCAUCAGCUAGGUGUCUCUACCAUUAGGGUCCCUGAGGUCAGCCGGGAGUCUCUAUUAUUAGAAUGCCAAGGGUCGUUCAGAUGUCUCUAUCAUUAGAGAGUCUAUGGUCAGCCAGGAGUCUUUUUUAUUAGAAUGCCUGGUGUCGGCCCAGAGUCUCUCCCGUUAGAAUGCCUGGAGUCACAGAGGUGUCUCUAUUAUUAGAAUGUCUGAUGUCGGUCUGGAGUCUCUCCCAUUAGAAUGUCUUAAGUCACAUAGAUGACUUUAUCAUUAGACUGCCUGUGAUCAGCCGGGAAUCUCUCCAAUUAAAAUUCCUGAGGUCACCCAGGUGUCUCUAUAAUCAGACUGCCUGGGGUCAGCCAGACAUCUCUUUCAAAAGAAUGCCUGGGUUUGGCUGGAAGUCUCUCCUAUUAGAAUGCCUCGGGAUGCCCAGGUGUCUCUAUCAUUAAAACGUCAAGUCAUCUGAGAGUCUCUUCCAUUAAAAUGCCUGCAGUCACCCAGUUGUCUCUAUCAUUAGAUUUCCUGCAGUUGGUCGGGUGUCUCUCCCACUAGAAUUCCUGGGGUUUUUCAGGUGUCUCUAUCAUUAGACGGCCUGGAGUCGGCUGGGAGUCACUCCCCUUAAAAUGCCUGGGGUCGAUUUGGCAUAUAUAAUUAUACUGCCUAGGUUUGGCCAGAAGUUUCUCCCAUUAGAAUGCCUGGGUUUGCCCAGGAGUUCUAUCAUUAGACUGCCUGGGGUCAGCUGGGAGUCUCUUCCGUUAGAAUGCCUGGGGUUGCUCAGGUGUCUUUAUUAUUAGACUGCCUGGGAUCCACCAGGAGUCUCUUUCCUUAGAAUGCCUUGGGUCACCGAAAUGUCUUUAUAAUUAGACUGCUUG
rnacentral:lncRNA from 10 species